GUUUGCUAACAUGUUUUUAUACAUGCAAAACUAAAUUUUUAGAUGCACGCACACCCUCGCCAAGCAGCAAACAAGGCACGGCGGACUGCAAGGGGCGAAAAAUCUGGUGGCUCUGAAACACUGUCAUCCAAUAAGAGAGAGAGGAAGGUACACGACGAAAUGCAAGCACAUCCUUCACAAGAGGCAAAAAAGGCACGACGCACUGCAAGGGUUGAAAAACCUAGUGGCUCU